UACGUAGGGUGCAAGCGUUGUCCGGAAUUAUUGGGCGUAAAGAGCUCGUAGGCGGUUUGUCGCGUCUGCCGUGAAAGUCCGGGGCUCAACUCCGGAUCUGCGGUGGGUACGGGCAGACUAGAGUGAUGUAGGGGAGACUGGAAUUCCUGGUGUAGCGGUGAAAUGCGCAGAUAUCAGGAGGAACACCGGUGGCGAAGGCGGGUCUCUGGGCCGAUACUGACGUGAGGAGCGAAAGCGUGGGGAGCGAACAGG
rnacentral:rRNA from 1 species